rnacentral:rRNA from 1 species
UACGUAGGGGGCAAGCGUUGUCCGGAUUUAUUGGGCGUAAAGCGCGUGUAGGCGGCCAUGUAGGUCCGGUGUGAAAACUCGAGGCUUAACCUCGAGAUGUCAUCGGAAACCAUUUGGCUAGAGUCCGGAAGAGGAGAGUGGAAUUCCUGGUGUAGCGGUGAAAUGCGCAGAUAUCAGGAAGAACACCAAUGGCGAAAGCAGCUCUCUGGGACGGUACUGACGCUGAGACGCGAAAGCGUGGGGAGCGAACAGG